rnacentral:rRNA from 1 species
AAUCAACGCUGGCGGCGUGCCUAAUACAUGCAAGUCGAGCGAAUCAAUGGGAGCUUGCUCCCUGAGAUUAGCGGCGGACGGGUGAGUAACACGUGGAUAACCUGCCCGUAAGACUGGGAUAACUUCGGGAAACCGGAGCUAAUACCGGAUAAUUUCUUUUCUCGCAUGAGGAAAGAUGGAAAGAUGGUUCUGCUAUCACCUACAGAUGGACCCGCGGCGCAUUAGCUAGUUGGUGAGGUAACGGCUCACCAAGGCGACGAUGCGUAGCCGACCUGAGAGGGUGAUCGGCCACACUGGGACUGAGACACGGCCCAGACUCCUACGGGAGGCAGCAGUAGGGAAUCUUCCGCAAUGGACGAAAGUCUGACGGAGCAACGCCGCGUGAGCGAAGAAGGCCUUCGGGUCGUAAAGCUCUGUUGUUAGGGAAGAACAAGUAUCGGAGUAACUGCCGGUACCUUGACGGUACCUAACCAGAAAGCCACGGCUAACUACGUGCCAGCAGCCGCCGUAAUAC